GCAUGUACAAUAUGAAACGGUUAAGUAACAAUAUAAAUUGUGUGGUUCACCUGACUCAUUGGAAUGAGAAUGAAAAUUUGAUAACAUUUUGGCCGACGGUACUUGGCCAGCAAGAGUUGCCUUUUCGAGACUUCGACAGAACGUCAACAGAAAAAAGAAGCAAUUAUAAUUUGAUAUUGAAGAUCUUGAACGCUGGAAGGACCAUUUGUUUAAUGUAAUUCACUAUGGAUUUGUUAAAAACCACUUUCAGUAAAAACUAUUACAUGUAAUGACUCGCACUCCCAGGAUCGGCAUGGAGUAUACAUUGGCCAUUAUUUAUGGUAAGGUCG